rnacentral:rRNA from 1 species
GAACCGGGGGAACUGAAACAUCUAAGUACCCCGAGGAAAAGAAAUCAACCGAGAUUCCCCCAGUAGCGGCGAGCGAACGGGGAGCAGCCCAGAGUCUGAAUCAGCUUGUGUGUUAGUGGAACGGUCUGGAAAGUCCGACGGUACAGGGUGAUAGUCCCGUACACCAAAAUGCACAGGCUGUGAACUCGAAGAGUAGGGCGGGACACGUGGUAUCCUGUCUGAAUAUGGGGGGACCAUCCUCCAAGGCUAAAUACUCCUGACUGACCGAUAGUGAACCAGUACCGUGAGGGAAAGGCGAAAAGAACCCCGGCGAGGGGAGUGAAAAAGAACCUGAAACCGUGUACGUACAAGCAGUGGGAGCACCUUCGGGUGUGACUGCGUACCUUUUGUAUAAUGGGUCAGCGACUUAUAUUCUGUAGCAAGGUUAACCGUAUAGGGGAGCCGCAGGGAAACCGAGUCUUAACUGGGCGUUAAGUUGCAGGGUAUAGACCCGAAACCCGGUGAUCUAGCCAUGGGCAGGUUGAAGGUUGGGUAACACUAACUGGAGGACCGAACCGACUAAUGUUGAAAAAUUAGCGGAUGACUUGUGGCUGGGGGUGAAAGGCCAAUCAAACCGGGAGAUAGCUGGUUCUCCCCGAAAGCU